UGACCGCCUGAAGGAGGAGGCGCGCGCAGCGCCCGCGUGGGCCGAGCGCGGACAGGCCGGCCUGCGGACCGAGUUCCUGGGCCACUCGCGGCAUAGUAUUGUUUUCUUUUUUCUUUUUAUGUAGUUUUUUCUUCAUAUUUGAAUUUAUGUAAUAAAUCAUGUGCUGAUCCAAAAAGUAUGAAAAUUUUUGUAUAGGUUCCAUGGAAUAAGUAGAACACAGGAAAAAUGUUAAGUUUUAUUUUCUGAUAUUUUGUAGGUAUAUAAAAAUUACAUCUUUUCAUUAAUAAAUGAAACUUCUAGGA
rnacentral:lncRNA from 1 species